CCUACGGGAGGCAGCAGUGGGGAAUAUUGGGCAAUGGGCGCAAGCCUGACCCAGCAACGCCGCGUGAAGGAAGAAGGCUUUCGGGUUGUAAACUUCUUUUCACAGGGACGAAGCAAGUGACGGUACUUGAGGAAUAAGCCACGGCUAACAACGUGCCAGCAGCCGCGGGAAUACGUAGGUGGCAAGCGUUAUCCGGAUUGACUGGGUGUAAAGGGCGUGUAGGCGGGGACGCAAGUGAGAUGUGAAAACCACGGGCUCAACCUGUGGCCUGCAUUGGAAACUGUGUUUCGUGAGUACUGGAGAGGCAGACGGAAUUCGUAGUGUAGCGGUGAAAUGCGUAGAUAUUAGGAAGAACCCCAGUGGCGAAGGCGGUCUGCUGGACAGCAACUGACGCUGAGGCGCGAAAGCGUGGGGAGCGAACAGGAUUAGAUACCCUUGUAGUC
rnacentral:rRNA from 1 species